rnacentral:snRNA from 1 species
UCUUGGCAUUUUGGCUAAGAUCAAGUGUGGUAUCUGUUCUCAUCAGCUUAAUGUCUGGUAUCCUCUAUCCA